GAGGGGCACCCGCCCACCAACGGCCGCGGGGUUGCAGCCGACGCGGCGAUGCGUGGGGCUAAAGCUGCGUGCCUUGCACGGUGCUCCGGGGGAGCUGCAGCGGAGCGGCGGGACACUGAUAUCGCAGACACGAGAAGUGCGGCUGUAGGAUAAAAUCCGGGCUUGGAAUGAGAGCUACCAAGAACUUCCACCUUCCUUCUUAUUAUCAAGCCCAGCCAAAGCCCACAGCAAGCUUAUCUACGACCAAAGUACCUUCCACAGGCCCGAUGAAUACCUUCUGGGAUCCUGGUUAACCUCUUCUGCAAAAGAGAGGCCUCCUUCCUCCCCUGCUCUGCACUGCCAUCAGUGUCUGUCAGCGUUGCUAUUUAGAGCACCACAAUACACCGAGGAGAAGUACUACAAUGUCUUGCUGCUCGGCUCGAUGAAACAACACCAGAUGCUGAAACUCCACUGAAACUCAGCAGUACCCAAAGGAAUGUGUGCUGGGAUGCAUGGUGCAGAACAUCGGGGUACAACCUGCAGUGAGAACACUCGAGAUCCCAGUAGCUUUAGGCAUUAUAAGUGAAGUCAACACGCUGAACUUCUCUGGAAGGAGCUCAGAACCCAAAGAGGAUGGGAGGAAGGGUGAUACUGGUGCAACAUAAUCUCCCUGAGAAACAUCGCCUGGUAGGCAAGCAAUGGGAAUCUGAACAAGCUGUAGCUGACAACAGUUGAACCUCUAUGUGUAUUGUUACUCAUUCAGACAAGUAUCUCAUUUAUGCUGAGUAUGCCACAGAUCUGCAAGAUUCUAUCUUGUAUUGAUCCUUAUUUUGUGCCACAUAUUCUUUGUAUUAAAUACUCAUCAAUCCACUUAAUUAUGUCUCAUUAAUCUCAUUAAUAACUCAACAAAUCUCAUUAAUCAAGCCACACUGCGAUAUGGAAAAAUACAGUGCAGGAGCUCUUGACAACAUGACCUGUGGAGUUACAGUGAUUUACCAGUUUACCUUGAUAUAUUCAUCCACUGUGAU